rnacentral:rRNA from 1 species
UGGGGAAUUUUGGACAAUGGGCGAAAGCCUGAUCCAGCAAUGCCGCGUGUGUGAAGAAGGCCUUCGGGUUGUAAAGCACUUUUGUCCGGAAAGAAAUCCUUGGCUCUAAUACAGUCGGGGGAUGACGGUACCGGAAGAAUAAGCACCGGCUAACUACGUGCCAGCAGCCGCGGUAAUACGUAGGGUGCAAGCGUUAAUCGGAAUUACUGGGCGUAAAGCGUGCGCAGGCGGUUUGCUAAGACCGAUGUGAAAUCCCCGGGCUCAACCUGGGAACUGCAUUGGUGACUGGCAGGCUAGAGUAUGGCAGAGGGGGGUAGAAUUCCACGUGUAGCAGUGAAAUGCGUAGAGAUGUGGAGGAAUACCGAUGGCGAAGGCAGCCCCCUGGGCCAAAUACUGACGCUCAUGCACGAAAGCGUGGGGGAGCAAACAGGAUUAGAUACCCUGGGUAGUCCACGCCCUAAACGAUGUCAACUAGUUGUUGGGGAUUCAUUUCCUUAGUAACGUAGCUAACGCGUGAAGUUG